rnacentral:rRNA from 1 species
UACGUAGGGAGCAAGCGUUGUCCGGAAUCAUUGGGCGUAAAGCGCGCGUAGGUGGUCCCGUAAGUCCGCUGUGAAAGUCAAAGGCUCAACCUUUGAAAGCCGGUGGAUACUGUGGGACUAGAGUACGGAAGAGGCGAGUGGAAUUCCUGGUGUAGCGGUGGAAUGCGCAGAUAUCAGGAGGAACACCAAUAGCGAAGGCAGCUCGCUGGGACGGUACUGACGCUGAGACGCGAAAGCGUGGGGAGCAAACAGG